UACGUAGGGUGCAAGCGUUGUCCGGAAUUAUUGGGCGUAAAGAGCUCGUAGGCGGUCUGUUACGUCGGCUGUGAAAACCUAGGGCUCAACCCUGGGCCUGCAGCCGAUACGGGCAGACUAGAAUUCGGUAGGGGAGACUGGAAUUCCGGGUGUAGCGGUGGAAUGCGUAGAGAUCCGGAAGAACACCGGUGGCGAAGGCGGCCUGCUGGGCAGUUUAGCUGACACUGAGGGCGCGGACAGCGUGGGGAGCAAACAGG
rnacentral:rRNA from 1 species